UGGUGAGGCGACUUGUCUGCUUAAUUGCGUUAACGAACGAGACUUCAACCUGCUAAACUAGGAGCUGAAUUACUAAUUCGGUUUCCUUCUUAGAGGGACAAUGUAUUCUAAGUACAAGGAAGUUUGAGGCAAUAACA
rnacentral:rRNA from 1 species